UACGUAGGGUGCAAGCGUUGUCCGGAAUUAUUGGGCGUAAAGAGCUCGUAGGCGGUUUGUCGCGUCGGCUGUGAAAACCUGGGGCUCAACCCCGGGCCUGCAGCCGAUACGGGCAAACUAGAAUUCGGUAGGGGAGACUGGAAUUCCUGGUGUAGCGGUGGAAUGCGCAGAUAUCAGGAGGAACACCGGUGGCGAAGGCGGGUCUCUGGGCCAUUACUGACGCUGAGGAGCGAAAGCGUGGGGAGCGAACAGG
rnacentral:rRNA from 1 species